ACACACACACACACACACACACACACCACUAGUGAAAAAGUGGUUCCAUGUCUGCUAUUAGCUAACAGUGUGUGUGUGUGUGUGUGUGUGUGUGUGU
rnacentral:miRNA from 1 species